ACCCUACGGGGCGCAGCAGUGAGGGAUAUUGGUCAAUGGGGGAAACCCUGAACCAGCAACGCCGCGUGAGGGAAGACGGUUUUCGGAUUGUAAACCUCUGUCCUCUGUGAAGAUAAUGACGGUAGCAGAGGAGGAAGCUCCGGCUAACUACGUGCCAGCAGCCGCGGUAAUACGUAGGGGGCAAGCGUUAUCCGGAUUUACUGGGUGUAAAGGGAGCGUAGGCGGCUGUGUAAGCCAGAAGUGAAAGCCCGAGGCUCAACCACGGGACUGCUUUUGGAACUACAUGGCUUGAUUGCAGGAGAGGC
rnacentral:rRNA from 1 species